GACGAACGCUGGCGGCGUGCUUAACACAUGCAAGUCGAACGGAAAGGGCCGGCUUUCGGGGGGUGCUCGAGUGGCGGACGGGUGAGUGACACGAGAGUAACCUGCCCUUGACUUUGGGAUAACUUCAGGAAGCUGGGGCUAAUACCGGAUAGGAGCUCCUACUGCAUGGGGGGGGGUGGAAAGUUUCGGCGGUGGGGGAUGGACUGGCGGCUUAUCAGCUCGUUGGUGGGGUAGUGGCUUACCAAGGCGUUGACGGGUAGGCGGCCUGAGAGGGUGACCGGCACCAUUGCGCCUGAAAUACGGCCCAGACCCCAACGGGAGGCAGCAGUGGAGAAUAGUGCCCAAUGCGCGGAAGCCUGCUGCAGCACCGCCGCGUCGGGGAUGCCGGGCUUCGCGUUGUAAACCGAAUCCGCCUGUAAAGAAGCGUGAGUGACGGUAAUGGGUAAAGAAGCACCGGCUAACUACGUG
rnacentral:rRNA from 1 species